ACGUAAACCUGUGAUUUUCCCGCCA
rnacentral:siRNA from 1 species